UACGUAGGUGGCAAGCGUUGUCCGGAUUUACUGGGCGUAAAGAGCGCGCGGGCGGUCGUUCAAGUCGCGUGUGAAAGCCCCCGGCUCAACUGGGGAGGGUCACGCGAUACUGAUCGACUCGAAGGCAGGAGAGGGAAGUGGAAUUCCCGGUGUAGUGGUGAAAUGCGUAGAUAUCGGGAGGAACACCAGUGGCGAAGGCGGCCAUCUGGACCGGCACUGACGCUGAGGCGCGAAAGCGUGGGGAGCAAACAGG
rnacentral:rRNA from 1 species